ACACAAACCAUACAAUACAAUACAAAAUCUCGUCUCUUAAGUCUUACCUAUGGCCGUUGUCAUCGGCGGUACAUAAUCACCGGAAAGUUCCAAAUCUCCGGUUGAAGAUCUUAAGGUCACUCCUGAGGUAUGUGUACAUAUUACGGGGUUCUUCUCCUGAUUUGAGACGAUAGGAUUAGGGAAUUAAGGCUGAUCAUCAGUAUGUUUAUAAAACUGAGUUUCAUUUACUUCAUUGUAUGUUGUUGCCGAGAAGAAUGAUGUUCAGAAAAGAAAAUUAAAGCUUAAAUUUCGGAUGUCUAACCCAUUCAAAGAAGUUAAAUUCAAUUGCUUGUGCAUAUAAUGAAGAAUUCAUAUAAUUGCUACCUCCUUAGUAUAAUGCAAUUCGAUAAGAGUUUUCAAAUUUACUAAGAUUUGCAUAAAUGUUUUUUCUGGUAUAAUUUUAUGAGAAACUGUGACUUUUUGUUUAUACCUUUUCUGAUACUGUUUCAUAACCUUUCUAAAAAGUACUCAUAAAUUAAAUUAAAAGUAACUUGUGAUGUUUUUUCUUAGAAGUGAAAGCAACAAUUUUCUUAGAAGUGAAAGCAACAAUAUAAAAGCAUGUUUCACAAAUAAACUUUUUUUCGCAACCUUGAAUGCAAUUGAAAAAUGUAAAUUAUAAUGUGAUAUUGUUAUGAAAGAAAUGAAUUGAAGAUUGGCUUUGACAUAUCUAUCUGAAGCAGAUCACAUUGUAGUCACUAGGCUUAUUAUAGAUAAGGUCACAUUUAUUGAAGUUAUAGUGUUGUACCAAUGUUGUCAUAAUAGAUAUCUGAAGCAGAUCCUCAGCGCUGCGCCCCUUUUUUAGGAUAUGUAGAUCUUGAACAUGCUAUUACUUUGUCCGAACUGCAUUCAGUUUGUACAUUACAUACGGUGUGCUUUUCAUCCUUUAUGGCAAGAGUAGUUAAGUUAGCAGGGGAUAAAAGGGUUGUAUUGAUGAUUUCUUAUCCUCAGGAUCUAUUUGUUAAAAUCUUUGCAAUUCUUUAAUCGUUAAGCUAUUUGUUUUCACUUUUCACCCUCUUCUUCUCAAUGAAAUUCUACUUUUAUUUUAAAAGUAAAGCAACAUAAGGUGGUCUUAAUAUAGUCUGAUUAGGAAAAUAAUUGUCGUGUAAUCAAUUAGCAAUAUAAAGUACUGUUGGGAUAAAUCAACUUUUGGUUCCUGUACUGGGAUCCGACUUACAAGUUGAUAUCCCAAUUGAAAAAAGUAACAAAUUGGUGCUUGUACUAGAAAAAAUUUAUAAGUCGGUGAUUGUACUUGAAUAUUUAUGUAAAAUCGUUAAAUUUGACUAACGGACAUAACGGAAAAUUCUUAGUAGGCUAACAGAAUGACAUAACGGACAUAAUGACAUUUGUAUCUGGGACCUAUCAGAGAUCGAAAAUGGAGGGUAAUCUUCCUCUCAGUUACUACACGUGACUCACGUGAGGAUGAAGGAGACAACAACUAUUUCCCUUAUUCAAGUACAAUCACCAACUUCUAAAUUUUUUCUAGUACAAGCACCAAUUUGUUGCUUUUUCCAGUUAGAGUACCAACUUGUGAGUCGGGUCCCAGUACAGGCACCAAAAGUUGAUUUAUCCCAAGUACAGUUAUUAUUAUAUAAUAAUUAGGAAGCUAUGGUGAAAUAAAAUCCUUGACAUGCAACUGGGGUUUAAAAUAGAAUGCCUUGAGUACAUCGUCUUCUCUCUAUUCUUGUGGAAAUUACUAGCAGCCUCUGCCUCUGAUGAUGAGGUUUAGAGUUGUUUCUUAAAUUGAAAGGGAAUGCGUGGAACUUGACCUUUACUAGUAGUUCAAAUACUAGCCUGUUGUCUGAUUCCUUUUGUCAUUAUUUUGUUCACCUCUGACAAUUUCUUCACUAGAUUCAUGUAUGGUUAUAGCCUUGUGACUGUGAUUUUCCUCAUCCUUGUUACAUGCAUUUAUCAUUUGCUCGGUAGCUGCUUUUUGCUCUAUAGAUGGGGGCAGGGACUUGUAGUCUUUGCUUUUACCCCAUACAACAAGAUAAAGGCCUGCAAUUAUGACAAUGGCUCCAAUUACCCUGUAAGAAAGUGAUAUUAGCUAGUUUAUUUUUUGUGUACGGCUAUGAUUCGGGAGAGAGUUUGAGAAUCACCUUCCCAGGUACAUUUGUUCGGCCAAGAUGAUGGAGCUCAUGAUAGCUACGAUGAUCAUGCUCAGUGGAUUAAAAGCUGUCACAAAAACAGGUCCCCUGUCUUUCAUUAUUAUUCCUUGGAUGUAAUAUGCAAGUCCUGAACAGAAUAUGCCCUGCAUAAAUACAUUGUAAGAUGAAUGGUUUAUAGGUGGAUAAAUGCCAAAAACACAUCUUUGUCCUACUUUGAGAAUGAAUCCUUGUACGAUAUGGAAUUACAUUCUUCUAUACUGUGUCAUUUCAUUUUCUAAAAAUUAAGUUCUUGGCCCUGUUAGUAGAGAUAUAUAUUGAUCAUAGAUUUUCUGAAAUUUUAUUUGAUCACAAUGACCCUGUAAAAGGCAGAUGGGUUGCUAAGACUUAAUAGAUGGUUAAAUAUUCUUAUCAGCCAUAAUUAUACGAUUAUACCUUUUGAUGCAUAUGGUUCAGCAAGUGGUUUUUUGGAAACAUAUAACGAUGGACUACGCUGGUCAGAUUAGUUUUCUUACACUGUAGAGAGCUGCCAGGAAUUUGGUGUCCCAUUUCAGGGACCAGACGGCAACAUUUCCCCUCUCCAUUACAAGAGCCACUAUGGCUCCCUCAGCUGUGCCCAACAAACAUAUCCAAGCAGUGAGAGAGAGCUCAGCAGGAUAUGUCUUUAGCGUGAUUGCCUAGGAAAAUAACAAAGAUUAUGAAUUUGCAGGGCAAGAUUAGUAAUCCAUUUCACAAGUCCAUAUACUUUCAUACUUGCAGAACCAUGAAACAAGCCCAACUGAAGCAUCCAGCUGUGAUCAUAAGAGAACCCUUGACUGAAUGUUGAAUAUCUAUCGCACUCCUUUCGAGUUCAUGAGUGCUUCUUCCUUUCGUCCAAACCAGAUCUAGAACUGGGCCUUUGACCAGUGUCAUGAGCAUGGCUCCUCCAACGGUAGUAAGAGUGCCAACUACCUUAGCUUGGCUGCGGAUACUCUUGAAUUUAACCUUCUCAAGCCUAAGACAAAAAAAUUAUAGAGUUGUUUAAACACGUCAUAUCAGACAUGUUUCAGGGGAUACCAUAAAUAGAUUUGUGCUCAAUAAUACUUAUAUGUAGGUGUGAGUUUGUGCUUUUUUGGUUGUAAUGCUUCUUAUAGGGUAGCAUCUUUUUAUAUGGUGUCUUUUGGACACAAAGUAGGUAGAAUGCAUGCACAUGAUUCACCUGAAGAUGCAUGCCAUUAAAAAUGUUAUGGCGGGUAAAACGUUACACAUAGCGGCUGCGAAUGUUGCUGUUGUGUUUUUCAUCCCCAUAAUAUACAUAUUCUGGUCAAUAACUGGUCUGCAGAUGAAGAGACAAAUAUGUUGUUACAUGAUCAUUUCAUAAGAUAUGGAAAAAACAAAUUUAGUGAUUAACUUACUCUAGUAGGCCAAGCAGCAUAAAUUUUACGAACAAUGAUUUAGUCAUCUUAGGCCUUACUUUCCUGUUAAAAAAAAAAUUCAGCUGUUGGCUUCUUGAUUAAAAUAAAUGAUGACACACCUCAACAGAAAGAGGGAAAGGGAAGAGAGAGAGAGAGAGAGAGAGAGAGAGAGAGACUUGUCCAGAAUGAUCGCAAAAGGGGCAAUAACGAUAGUGGCAACGGCAUGGCGGUAAACAACAAAUACAUAAUUGCUCAUCCCUUCAUUCAGUGCUGCUUUAGAAAGAAUAUCCAUUCCUGCAAGCCCAAACUGCAAGAAAAUAACAGCAAGGAAGGGCUUUGCCCUGAUAAACAGUUCACUUGUGGUCAUGCUUCGUGGUUCAACUUGCUGAGAACUUCAGGUAUGGCUCGUUAGACUUCUUAAAUGGUAGCUACAUCUAUAUAUAAUGGAUGGAACAUUAUUUUAAAUGCCUUUUAUUUUUUACCUUUCUCAGUCUGCCACGUAGGAAUGAAGGGUUCCGCUAAUAAUAUGCAUGGACAUACUAAUUACUGAAGAAUCUUGCACGGUGAACAACAUCCUGAUAACUUGGACUAUUGAUGACUCCACCUCAGACAACACUAAAAAAACAUUAGUAAUUUAUGCAGCCUGAUUGUUUGCUAAAGUGCAAGGAUCACUGUUGUGAUGGAGUUGUUUUUGCAAUGAUCUACAAAAAUUCCUUCAGCAACAUGUCUUGUUGGUUUACCAUGUCUAGUUUUAACUUAUCAAUGGUAUUGGAUGUGGCAUAAUGAUGUUUUUAUAUUUAGCUUUACCUUUAAAUUGGAACUCCUCGUAAGGAUUGAAGUCCACAAUAAAUUGCAUGAAUACAUUUCUUCUAUAGUACCUAACUUAGUCAUGUUUUGCAGGGUGGAUUAUUAUGGUGUAUCGAUUAGCUUACAUCAGAAACUGCUGCCUUUUCUGUUGCAGACAUGAAGAAUGGUCUACAAUUGUGACGUACCAAUAAUCGUAGUAAGUUUUUGGUAAUGAGUUGGUGUAAAUUAAAGACAACGAUGAAAAGGUUUUGUGUAGUGCGAUAAUUAAAUAGUAACAACACUGCUAAGCAGAAAAAUGGGCUCACCCCUGCUUUGGAUUUGUUACUUGAUUCCUACAUAGUAGUCAAGGCACUUAAUCCCACUACUUAGUACUUUGUUAUCUUGUGCUUUAUGCAUUGGCAAUGCACCAAACACUCCCAUCUCCAAAUUGAGAACACUUUUUUUUAGUCAUUUGGAGUCCGACUAUCUGGCUUCUUGUGUGCAUCUGUUAUACAUAAGUUUAUGUGCAUCUAUUAUGCAUGUUUUGUGUGCAUCUGUUAUACACAAGUGUUGUGUGCAUUGUAGUAGGCAAACAUUUGUAAAAUUAAUGCGUAGAGUAGUACUCCCUCCGUUUUAAAAUAUAAGAUCAUUAUUGACUUUUGAAAGUCAACUUAUGACAUUUUCAAACUCAAAAUUGAGAUGAUUCAUUAAAAAUUAAGGGACAAUAUAUCUUAAAAUGAGGAUUAUUUUUUUAGAUAAUUUACAAAUUUUAUCAUUCUACUGAUU
rnacentral:lncRNA from 1 species